UACGGCGAACUAACGCGCCCUCUUCCAUACAAAUCGGGAAACCUGGCCGCGGAAGGUUUCUCUUCUAAAUAUAUUUUCGGAAAAUUCGCAUUUUAUAUAAGAGUACCGCUGUAAUAAGCGGGUAUUUGUACGUCGAUAAUUGUGUGUGUUCAACGGAUAUCAUUUACUGCGAUUAAGGCUCUCUAUGGCCUGUUAAACUGACUACUAAAAAUAGAACAGUGCCCGAUACAUUAGUAGGAAAAUCUAGUGCGAGGUUUCCAUUCAUAAAAUCUAUCAUUUGGUGGUCUGUCGUGACGACACGAUAUCGACGCAUAAUUAAAAUUUAUCGGUGAAUUCACAUCGUUGGCUGGAACAAAGUGACCAAUCAAUAACAGCGUCACCGUUAAAGGAGUUUUCGUCGAAAAAGUAUCGGAAAGAGGCAAAAUGGCGACCGAGGGCGGACUGGCGCCUGCCGGCGACGGCGAAAUGCCCGUGGGCGGGCCCAAGACGCCCCAGCAGAUCGCCGCGCAACGUCGCCUCCAGCAGACACAGGCGCAAGUUGACGAGGUGGUGGACAUCAUGAAAACAAACGUCGAAAAGGUGCUGGAGCGCGAUUCUAAGCUCUCAGAGCUUGAUGAUAGAGCAGACGCACUCCAGCAUGGCGCAUCACAGUUUGAGCAACAGGCCGGGAAGCUGAAAAGCAAAUUCUGGUUGCAGAAUUUAAAGAUGAUGAUAAUCGCAGCUGUGAUCGGAAUCGUCAUCUUGGCUCUGAUUAUAGGUAAGUACCCUGCCAACCCCGACUCUACGGCACAUCACUGUAUUAGACUAAUCUUAAUUUUUCAACAUUUUCAGCCAACUGUGUGUGAACAACUUUGGAGCAGUUUCAUUUAGAAGUAACUUGUUAUAAUGUUCAUAGUAUAACGUUAUUUUAUUGCGUUAAAACUAAGCCUAGUUUGGUCUGUAAACAUCGGGUACGGAUGAUAGAUGGCUGAGAAACUCUCUACAGAAUUCCAUUACGUACAGCCUAAUUUCACCAUUUUUUACCUGUCCUCGAGUUCAAUCAGCACCGCCUUCGAUGUACCCAAUAUCAAUAUUCCCUACAUAAAACUAUUUAUUCUACUAGGCCCACCGUACACUCAGGUGCGGCGUUAACUUAGGUCCAGUCUCUAUUCGUACUCACGUGCCUGACGUGCCCUUAGUGUGCAGAGGGCCUAAAGCAAAAAGUUUAGAAAACUGUAUUUUCUUCACAUCACUAUCAACCGUCUUGACUUUAAGAAAAGUAUUUUUAGAUGAGUUUUCGUUAUUAAAAAUGUUUAUCUUAGAAUAACAACUGUAAUUUGCUAAACGCUAUACACAACCUAAAGCUUAUUGAAAACGACCAUAUCACCAAUUUCCAACAUUGAAUAUCUGAUUAAUGAGAUCGACCUAAGAGAAAUUUUAAAAUUUUUAGACUCAAAUUUUCUUUUAUUUCGGACCAAGUUUCUUAAUAAUCAUUAUUACCGAUUGUGUUUAUUUUAUACGCCGAUGUUUUUGAAUUUAUAUUUUCAAUUUCGAAUAAUUUAACUGUUGCUCUUGGAUAAAACGUCUAUAUGAAUAUGUUUCUAUCUUGUAAGUAUGGAGUUUCGUAAACUUUUUAAAUGUUGAAUACAUGGAUAUUGAUCUCACGUAGAAUAGUCGCAGCUGACAUUGUCGUUCUGGUCGACUUUCCUAUAAAAUUAAGUAACUAGGCAGAAAAAUAGUACUUAAACAAAUACUUAUAUUACAUUUUAGAAUCAUUUUACUGCUUCUAUGUACGCAAAUAUAUUACUUUUUAAUUGGGUAACCUAAUGGAUGUGAAUAACGAACGACUUAGAAUGGUUUGCUUAUUCGGUUAGUUUUAGUCAGUCUACAGGCAUUUUGUAGCUGUUUAAACUAAGUACCUACCUAACAUAACAUAAUAUAGGUACUUAUUGGCGGUGAUUUCUAUUUGAAACGAAAAUUUAUAAUAUUCAUGUUGUUGUUUGUAAUAAAUAGAAUUAGACUAAAAAAAUAAUGUUCAUUCCUACGAUCUCUUGUAAUCGUGACUGGCCAAUAUUUUUUAAAUAAUUAUACAUAACCAUGUUGUAACAGAUAUGUACCUUAUAUCUUUUUCUGUGUGUAUUGUAUGUAAAAACAGCUUUGUAGUUAGAAAGUGUAAAAAGUUUCACUAUAAUUAGGUGUUUUUAUUGUAACCACACAUAGGCUAAAAGCGAGUUAAAGUUAAUAAAGAUAAAUGUUUAUCCAUUGGGGAAAUUGGCCAGUGUUGGAUUAAAACCAGUCAUUAGUAAAUUAAGUGGAGUUCCAGAAAAUGAAAUUUAUAAUAAGCCAUGUAUGGGUAACAAUGAAUUAGUUUUUAGAUUUAGACAUUAUUGUGGCCGGAUAUAAGGCCUCAGUAUUGUGUCAAUCCUAGGACCGAUAUCGUUCUGGGGCCAGGGUUGGCCCAGUAUCGCGCAGUAUCUCUCUUAAUAAGUACCUACUUAUAUUAAAAUACGCAGGGUUUGUGCUGGUCUCAUUCUUCUGAGCCAUAAGAAUUGAGACGGGCAUAAACGGGCCAUAGAAAAAACUCUACAAGAAUAGAUAUGCAUAUGCACGUCGUGUUGAGUCGUUUUUUAGGUAUAGUAUUCAUAGCCUACUGAAAUUGUUACAACUACUUACUGACCUACAUUUUCGAUUUUUUUUAAAUACAUCCAGUACCAGUUAUAUCAGUCAAAAUAGCAUUGAUUAACGAGUUAUUAAAAUUCAAAAAUCUGAACUUAAUUAAUAAUUGAUAGAUGGGUGUUCUUAAUAAUAAUUCGAAAAUGGAAGUUAUAAAAAUCACUGUAAGGUAAGGUAAAAAAUACACCACAUACAGUAUAUGUUAUAAAUAGAUUUAUACUUUAAAAUAAGAAUAUUGCAUUAGUGAAAAGGUUUGAACCGAAAACUGUUGACAUGUAUUUGUACUAACAUGCUGCAAUAAAUCAGAAAAUAAAGAUACCUCUUCACUGGUGUUGGGUAUUGUGUACAUUAUUUGUGGUCAUAUUAUAUUAAGAUCCUAAAAUACGAAAACUUAAAACUUCUUUUGUGGGAAUAUUCAGGCUCAUAUUUAUUAUAAGGGUUAACAAGACAUUAUAAAAUGAGCAAGUUUCAGAGUAGAUAACAACGGUUCAUCAAUGAUAAGGUACACCUGUUUAUUUUUGCUGCGAAUAUGACCACAGGUAAGUAACUUAAUUGUGAAAAGACUCAAAAUGCAUAGUGUAAAAUUAUGUAAAACCACUAAUCAUGAGAAUAGGUACCAAUACCUACUUAGAACAAUUUGUUUCCAUCUUGUUAUUUUGUCAUUCCCCGUAAUAAAAUUCGCAGCAUAAACUCGAUCGGAGUCGGUCUCCCGCGCACUGAUGCCACUGAUGGGUUAGUGCGAUAGAGAGGGAAUACGAUCGAGUUCACGCUGUCGCUAACGUAAAUGACAAAUGCCAACUCGUGGUAGCCGUGCAGGUGUGGGGUGUGAAAUUGAACUGAAAUACGAAACUUAAAUUUAACUAAUUAUUUUUGAUGUUUCGAAUCGUGAAGGUUAAGAGGUCUGAGCAAACAGAAGGUUUCAUUCAUGAAAAGUGGAUUUAUAUUAAAUUUCAAUAUGUGAUGAGACUAGUUUAGACACUAAGUUAUUUAAAAUAUUGAUUAAAGGGUAAAAAAGACGUUACCUUUUAGAUAAGUAGGUACCUACUUACUUUACAUUAUUUAUUAUUCAAUUAAUCCUUUUGAUGAUGAUUAAGUAGUCUGUUUUAAUGGGGAUGUCGUAAGAAUAUAUUACCUAAAAUUAUGUUUAUUCACUACUUAUGUUUAUUUAAUUAAUAUCGUUUUUAAAAUAAACAUAUUAUACCUAAACUCCGUCUAAGCUAACUCUGCACCGACCUUACAGCGACAAAAUGGGGACGCGCCACUAUAGCCGUCAUAUUUUUAUAGGAAUUUGACAUUUAUGGUGGCACUUUGACACUAUGGGUUGCAAAAUUGAUGCAAAAUUCGCUUUGACAGACAAUAGGUACCUAAUUUGCAAUUUGUCUUGAAUCGUUAGAAGUAAAUGCUUGUGUUAAAAAGAAUUAAAGCGUAAUUUUAACGAAAUUUUAUUAAGAAAUAUAUAAUUAGACUUAUAUCAUUUACCUACCUUUCUUUUAUGGGUAAUUAAAACUUAAUUUCUUAUAAAAAUGUAUUUAUAUGUAAACACGUUAUAAGUAUAACUGUUAAACGUUAAAAAAUUAAACUUAAUCAGUUUAAUGAAUUAUCAGGCAAAUAUUUGGUAAAUAUUUACAUAUUGUAAUUCACCGUGUAUACAUAGCAUAAUAAGUUAUGUGCCAUGUAUUAUUAUUGCUUAAAUAAAUAAACCAACAUUAAUUAUGUUAGAAUAUUAUUA